GAAAUGCAGUCUAAGUCCAUGAAGAGAUUGUUACAUGAUACUUCUUUCCAGAUUUUUUUUCAGCAUUUCCCUGUUACAGCUCUGAACAGCAAAAGGUAACUAAAUCAGAAGACAUGCUAUAUCCAAUGAACUCAAUGAGAAAAGAAAAAGAAAACCCUAAAAACCUAUUCUGGUUCUUGCCCACCUACUUUCAUAUGUGACUGGCUGAUUCUGUGAAAAUGCAUCAGCACUAUGUGGUACCUAUCUAAGCCAGGGAAUCACAUGAUUACCUGUGCGAGCCCAAAGCUCUCCCUACAGAGAAACACCAGAAGGUGUAUCACUUCCAGAAAAUAGCAUGUGGAGUAUGCUGGGCAUUCCUUUUUUAACAGGUAUGAUUAAGAGAACUUUUAAUAUGAAAUAUAUAAUGUCAGGAG